UACGGGGGGGGCAAGGCGUUGUUCGGAAUUAUUGGCGUAAAGAGCUCGUAGGCGGUCUGUCGCGUCGGAUGUGAAAAUCCAGGGCUUAACCCUGGACCUGCGAGUUCGAUACGGGCAGACUAGAGUUCGGUAGGGGAGACUGGAAGUCUGGUGUAGCGGUGAAAUUCGUAGAUAUUCGGAAGAACACCAGUGGCGAAGGCGACUUACUGGACACAUAUUGACGCUGAGGUGCGAAAGCGUGGGGAGCAAAGCAGG
rnacentral:rRNA from 1 species